CAGAUGAACCGUCCAAUCCAAGUGAAGCCUGCAGACAGUGAAAGUAGAGCAGGCAUGGCUUGGCACGACAGAUCCUGCGCCCCGGGCCCCUGGGUGGAACCCCCCCAGCUCUCCACCCAAACAGACCACCUGCAGACCAGUACCCUAGAAGACAGAAAACUGUUUGUGGGCAUGCUCAAUAAACAACAGACAGAAGAAGAUGUCCGACAGUUGUUUCAGCCAUUUGGGACGAUUGAAGAAUGCACCAUACUAAGAGACCAAAAUGGAAACAGUAAAGGAUGUGCCUUUGUCAAGUAUUCCUCUCAUGCAGAAGCACAGGCAGCCAUUAAUGCAUUACAUGGAUCCCAGACCAUGCCAGUAAUACCAGGACCUCUACAAAAGGGUGCAUCCUCCAGUAUUGUUGUGAAAUUUGCAGACACGGAGAAGGAACGGCAACUACGUAAAAUGCAGCAGAUGGCAGGAAACUUGGGGUUGCUGAACCCUUUCGCUCUCACACAUGCGUACGGGGCUUAUUCACAAGUGAACCUAAUGCAGCAGCAAGCGGCGAUCAUGGCUGCAGCAGCAGCACAGGGCAGUGCAUACAUUAAUCCUGUCACAUCGUUGACACACCUGGGCCAAGUGGGAACAUUACCAAAUGGGAUCUCUCCGCAGGCAAUGGCACAAGCAGGUUCUGGAUUGGUUCCCGUGACAACAGCGACUGCUGUGAACGGAGGUCCACCAACCAUGCUGUCGCCCACUGUUGCCUUUGCUGCUGUUCCUACAUCCAAUGGACCAGAUAUUUACCCUAAUGGCAUACCACAGUAUGCGGCAGGUCAGAAUGUUCCCCCUUCCCAUCCUGGUGACCCCUUGCAGCCCGUGUACACAGGAGUUCACCCACAGUAUGGCGGAAUAGCUUACCCAGCUGCGUACGCUGCAGGUCAGUUCCAACAAGUUCUUGCUCAGCACCCCGCCAUUGCAGUCCAAGCACAAAAAGAAGGUCAGGAUCCCUACAAUGCCAACGUGUAUAUGUACCCUGUUGUUGCCCAGCCUGCCAGUGAGAAAGAGCACACCCCAGGCUCCAUGCCUGUUGACCCAUUGCAUGCUGGGAUUACCCACCCAGGUCAACAAGAAUUUGAAAGAAGAUUUGGAAAUAGGACGGGGCCAGAAGGCUGUAACUUAUUCAUCUACCAUCUUCCCCAAGAAUUUGGUGAUGCCGAGCUAGCGCAGAUGUUUAUGCCGUUUGGUAACGUGAUCAGCGCUAAAGUGUACGUGGAUCGUGCAACCAAUCAGAGCAAGUGUUUUGGUUUUGUGAGCUUUGAUAAUCCCACAAGUGCCCAGGCUGCUAUCCAGGCUAUGAAUGGUUUCCAGAUUGGAAUGAAACGCCUGAAAGUGCAGCUUAAACGACCCAAGGAUGCCAAUCGCCCAUAUUAGGAAGCAGACAAAAAUUGAUUGACCUCGCAACAAUUGCCAUUGCUAUGGCAACCCAAUAUGAUUGGCAGCUGGUAAAAUAUAUUCCAUUACACAAAUGGUUGCCUACCACUUCCAAGACUUGGUUGUUCAAACAGACAGUGACGAAAGGACUAGAAAUUCACAGAACAUUCAAAAACUAAAGGACCUCUGUACAGAAGGACAACCCUUUGAAUCAGAUAUUUUCUCAAAAAAGUAAUCAAAAAACUCUUAUAUAGUUUUCCUCUUUAUUCAAAAAUGUCUCACCACUUGGAGUUUUGUGAGAAGCAGCCUGUGUAAAUAGCACUUUAAACCUGAAGAAUUUGACUGUAAGUUGUUCUCUGCUAUCUGGAAUAUGGAAAAAAGCCAGGCUGGACCAUUGUUAUAGAGAUAUUAAAGGCAUCUGAUGAUAACACAGUUUGAAAUACAUGCGUUUUACUUAGGGGAGGAUAUUUGGUUACACAGUCAUCAUUAUCCAUUGAUGGAUUGUAAAUAGUUCCUAAAUGAUGAGGUUAGCUAGUCAGGUGUAAUUAUAAUCACAUCACCUGAGUGGUAGAGAAAAAUAUGUUUAGACUUUUUCGAGUUUUAAAGACUUUAAAAGUUAUUUAUCAUUUUACAAAUUGAAUAAU
rnacentral:misc_RNA from 1 species